CCGCACUGGUUCGAUUGGGAUACUCAUCAAAUUAUUACAGAAAACCGAGAACGCUUCGCCUUUCAAUGGCGGGCCGCGCCCCGCAAGGGGUAACUUCCACACGGGAGUCAGCGGAUUACAAAGGAGGUGGGCACUCAAAUCUUUAUGUACUCGGAGUUUCAUCACAUCAUCGGUGCGGUUUUU
rnacentral:sRNA from 1 species